CGGAGGAUGCAAGCGUUAUCCGGAUUCAUUGGGUUUAAAGGGUGCGUAGGCGGCUUUUUAAGUCAGUGGUGAAAUCCUGCCGCUUAACGGUAGAAUUGCCAUUGAUACUGAAGAGCUUGAGUACAGUUGAGGUAAGCGGAAUGUGUAGUGUAGCGGUGAAAUGCUUAGAUAUUACACAGAACACCAAUUGCGAAGGCAGCUUACUAAACUGUCACUGACGCUGAUGCACGAAAGCGUGGGGAGCGAACAGGAUUAGAUACCCUGGUAGUCCACGCCGUAAACGAUGAUCACUCGCUGUAUGCGAUACACAGUAUGCGGCCAAGCGAAAGCAUUAAGUGAUCCACCUGGGGAGUACGAUCGCAAGGUUG
rnacentral:rRNA from 1 species